rnacentral:rRNA from 1 species
UACGUAGGGGGCGAGCGUUGUCCGGAAUUAUUGGGCGUAAAGGGCGUGUAGGCGGUCCUGUAAGUCAGGGGUGAAACCCCGGGGCUCAACCCCGGGCCUGCCUCUGAAACUGCGGGACUUGAGUGCUCUAGAGGGUAGUGGAAUUGCCGGUGUAGCAGUGAAAUGCGUAGAGAUCGGCAGGAACACCAGUGGCGAAGGCGACUGCCUGGGGAGUAACUGACGCUGAGGCGCGAAAGCUAGGGGAGCAAACAGGAUUAGAAACCCCCGUAGUCC